UACGGAGGGGGCUAGCGUUGUUCGGAAUUACUGGGCGUAAAGCGCACGUAGGCGGCUUUGUAAGUUAGAGGUGAAAGCCCAGGGCUUAACCCUGGAAUUGCCUUUAAGACUGCAUCGCUAGAAUCGUGGAGAGGUGAGUGGAAUUCCGAGUGUAGAGGUGAAAUUCGUAGAUAUUCGGAAGAACACCAGUGGCGAAGGCGACUCACUGGACACGUAUUGACGCUGAGGUGGCGAAAAGCGUGGGGAGCAAACAGGG
rnacentral:rRNA from 1 species